rnacentral:sRNA from 1 species
UCCUAGUGGUUGCUUUUGGUGUACGUGUGAUGUAAUG